UCGGGGAGCGAGUAAAGUGGCGCACGGGUGAGUAACACGUAGGUAAUCUACCUUCGGGUGGGGAAUAACCCAGGGAAACUUGGGCUAACACCGCAUAAUGCAGCGGCACCACAUGGUGACAGUUGUUAAAGCGGGGGAUUUUAGGACCUCGCGCCUGAAGAGGAGCCUGCGGCGGAUUAGCUUGUUGGUAAGGUAACGGCUUACCAAGGCGACGAUCCGUAGCCGGCCUGAGAGGGCGGUCGGCCACACUGACACUGACAUACGGGUCAGACUCCUACGGGAGGCAGCAGUCGGGAAUUUUGGGCAAUGGGCGAAAGCCUGACCCAGCAACGCCGCGUGAAGGAUGAAAUCCCUCGGGAUGUAAACUUCGCAAGAAUGGGAAGAAUUAGUAGGGGUUAAUACCCCCUAUGAUGACGGUACCAUUUGUAAGCUCCGGCUAACUCCGUGCCAGCAGCCGCGGUAAUACGGGGGGAGCAAGCGUUGUUCGGAUUUACUGGGCGUAAAGGGCGCGUAGGCGGCCAGCACAAGUCAGUUGUGAAAUCUCCGGGCUUAACUCGGAAAGGUCAACUGAUACUGUGCGGCUAGAGUGCGGAAGGGGCAACUGGAAUUCUCGGUGUAGCGGUGAAAUGCGUAGAUAUCGAGAGGAACACCUGCGGCGAAGGCGGGUUGCUGGGCCGACACUGACGCUGAGGCGCGAAAGCCAGGGGAGCGAACGGGAUUAGAUACCCCGGUAGUCCUGGCCUUAAACG
rnacentral:rRNA from 1 species